UGCGCAGGCGGUCUUGCAAGUCAGAUGUGAAAGUUCCGGGCUUAACCUGGGAAUUGCGUUUGAAACUAUAAGGCUAGAGUGCAGCAGAGGGGAGUGGAAUUCCAUGUGUAGCAGUGAAAUGCGUAGAUAUGUGGAGGAACACCGAUGGCGAAAGCAGCCCCCUAACGCCGAUACUGACGCUCAUGCACGAAAGCGUGGGGAGCAAACA
rnacentral:rRNA from 1 species